CAGCAGCCACGGUAAUACGAAGGGGGCUAGCGUUGCUCGGAAUGACUGGGCGUAAAGGGCGCGUAGGCGGCGGCCAAAGUCAGGCGUGAAAUUCCCGGGCUCAACCUGGGGGCUGCGUUUGAUACUUGGUUGCUUGAGUGGGGAAGAGGGUCGUGGAAUUCCCAGUGUAGAGGUGAAAUUCGUAGAUAUUGGGAAGAACACCGGUGGCGAAGGCGGCGACCUGGUCCUUGACUGACGCUGAGGCGCGAAAGCGUGGGGAGCAAACAGGAUUAGAUACCCGGGUAGUCCCUGUCUCUUAUAC
rnacentral:rRNA from 1 species